rnacentral:sRNA from 1 species
UAACACCAUUUCUUUUCAUCAGGGUGAACUGGUAAAGAGGGUACUUCCUAUAUUCACUGUGUAACAAAUGUUUAAUAAAUGCAUGUAGAAUACUUGUUUGGUGGUAGCUGUAUAAAGGCUGUCAUGGGUUUGCAACUAUUUGAAUUAACAUUGGGUUUUUCUGGUGUUGCUGCACAGGAUGUGAUGGUGGCAGGUGGGAUGGAGAGCAUGUCCAAUGUUCCAUAUGUAAUGAACAGAGGAUCAACACCAUAUGGUGGGGUAAAGCUUGAAGAUCUGAUCGUAAAAGAUGGGCUAACUGAUGUCUACAAUAAAAUUCAUAUGGGCAGCUGUGCUGAGAAUACAGCAAAGAAGCUGAAUAUUGCACGAAAUGAACAGGACGCUUAUGCUAUUAAUUCUUAUACCAGAAGUAAAGCAGCAUGGGAAGCUGG